AUGAGGAAAAGCGUGCUAUAUGCUACUAGGCAUAAACACUAUCUCCCAACUAUGCUACUAGGCAUAAACACUAUCUCCCAACCAUCCGAUUUGUAUGGAUAGCUAGGAUAGCUUUAGUCGUAAUGUCACAAGUGCACUCUUUAAUCUAGAUGUGCCAUGUCAGAGUCUUUUAUUUUUAAUUUUUCUAUAAAUUACAUAAACAUGAAAUUUGAUGCAUGUUAUCAUCUCAAUGGGGUGCAUCUAAAAAAAUAUGAAAAGAUAUUUUCAAAAAUAUAAAAUAACCAAAUUUACUCCUAAAACUUUCAUUGGCAUCUGUCAUUUUAUUUUUCUUAGGGUUUUUUUUUUAUUUUUUUUGUAGGUGUGAGCCUAUGAAAAUGUGACGUCUCAAAUUUAGUGUCAAUAUGAUUUGUAGAAAAAAUUUAAAAAUAAAAUAGAGUUUAGGGGUGAAAUUGUGAUUGCAGAAAGCUCACUCAAAUAGGAAAUGUGAAAAGAGCUAGUGCUCACACAGGAACAUAAUGUGCAUUUGCUCCCAAGGGUAAAAUUCAUGUUACACAUAUUUUUUGGACCUCAGAAUUUCAGGAUGUAGCCUAUACAACCACCCAAUAACCAAGCUCAAAAUAAAAUAGAAAAAGGGAUUCUCCAUGUGCUUCAAAAAAUCGACGUCCUGAGAUUGGACAAGAACCAUCCAAUUUGGGAGGGCAAGAUUUAGGUUCUCAAGAAUUACAAAUCUUUUUUGCUUUUUUUCUUGAAAAUAAUCAUUUGAAGAUAUUUGGAUCCCAAAAUUCCAGAUAAAUAAAAUCUUCCCAAGGGACUCUUUUGCCCAAGAGCAUGUUGUAUGCUCAUAUUUAAAACGAAAAGAUAUUACUCUUCGACAUGAGUUUACUGUCCAUGUACACCUUCGAAUAAAACCUCAUGUAUGAUUAAUUUUAGGACCAUUCAACCUCUUAUACCCAUGGAUUAACCUCAAUAAAAAACUACUGCUAAUUACACCCUCUAUGCAUUUUAAUAAUUUAUUAGAGACUGUCCAAUUUUAUAGGGUAAGAUCAAAGUGAUAGAAAAAUCUCAAAAUUUUCUUUUGCGAAUCAACAUUUAGUGAUGGUUCCCAAAAUUUCAGAUUGAAAAAUUCCUCCAAAGUAGAGGGAGUAGAUGUAAACUAUUACGCACUCAUUUUUAAAGUUUGAAACUAGAACAUGAUUUUUUAGUAAAUUUUUUAAGGGUAAGAUAAAAAAAUAAGUAAAUAUCGUAAAAAUAAAGGGAAGGUUUACCAUGCUACAUAUUGUAAAUUUAUCGUUAUGUUACACAUGGUUGUCCACCCUAGAUUCUCAACCAUGGACUGUGAGGGCUUCUAUUUGGUGUAAUAUCCCAUCAAGGAUAACUGCGCGGCUCUAAGAGAUGGUACACUCACCAUGGCUACCUGGAAGGCUUCU
rnacentral:lncRNA from 1 species